UGUUGAGUGGUGUAAUGGUUUAGCAUAUCAGUCUUUGACACUGACGGUGUAGGUUCAACCCCUGCCUCAACAA
rnacentral:tRNA from 1 species